rnacentral:rRNA from 1 species
UUCAGAGGGGGACAACAGUUGGAAACGACUGCUAAUACCGCAUACGAUCUAAUCUCGGCAUCGAGGAUAGAUGAAAGGUGGCCUCUACAUGUAAGCUAUCACUGAAAGAGGGGAUUGCGUCUGAUUAGCUAGUUGGAGGGGUAACGGCCCACCAAGGCGAUGAUCAGUAGCCGGUCUGAGAGGAUGAACGGCCACAUUGGGACUGAGACACGGCCCAG